rnacentral:rRNA from 1 species
GGUUGAUCCUGCCAGUAGUCAUAUGCUUGUCUCAAAGAUUAAGCCAUGCAUGUCUAAGUAUAAACACCUUUAUACAGUGAAACUGCAGAUGGCUCAUUAAAUCAGUUAUAAUUUAUUUGAUGAUACCUUUUACUACAUGGAUACCUGUAGUAAUUCUAGAGCUAAUACAUGCGUCAAGUCCCGACUCUUCGCGGAGGAAGGAUGUAUUUAUUAGAUAAAAAACCAACGCGCCCUCAAAAGCGCUUUUCGGUGAUUCCUAGUAACUUGUCGGAUCGCAUGGCCUCGCGCCGGCG